rnacentral:lncRNA from 1 species
GGGAGGGUGUGUCCCUGUUUCCACUUGUCGGCUCUCUACGCAUCCGGGCGCAGGGCUGUUUUCUUUCCUCCGACCAAAAAAAAAAAAAAAAAAGAGAGCGAGAGAGCGGGAGCCCGAGAGCGGGAGCCCGAGGUCGAGGGCCCCCUCCUUCUCCAGCAGAAGACCCUCUGGAAUGAACAGCAGCAGGCGACGCACACCUUGCGAGCUCUAGAUUUCAAAACUCGCUGUUAAUUCCCGGUGCUGCGUGCUCUGAGCGCCGUCUUCGCCAUCCAACCCAGACGGGGAUGAGACGAAAACAGCGUCCGGCAUCUGGAGGGGGCAGGGCCGCUCAGGAAGUUUGUUUUCCCCACCGAGCUUGGAGAAGACGGAUUGAAGCGGGUCGGCCGAGGCCUCUCCCACCUCCACAACCUCCAAGGCCUCUGCCCCGGGCUGCGGUGCCGGGCCCCUGCUCGCUGGCGAGUGCGGUGUGAGGCGGGCAGCCCGGGCCUACCCCUGCGGAGGUUUGUAGUUCACGGUAUAGGGGCCCAAACCCGAGUUUUUUGGGAAAGUAUCUCCCACAGAAUUGGCUUCUCUUUUGAAGCACGUUUUUAAUUGAAGAAGCUUCGGAACCGGUAUUGAGUUCUUCUAACUACUGGGAAAUCGGAUGCUUUGUUUUGAGACUACUUAUUUUUGAAAGCAAACCAAAGGCAUUAAAGAGCAACCUAAACCAAUUACAGUAGGGUUGUUAGAUAAAAUAUAGGAUGCCCAGUUAAACUUGAAUUUUAGAUACAAAUAGUGAAGUAUGUCCCAAAUAUUGCAUGGGUCACAUUUAUUAUUUUAAAAAUGAAAUAUCUGGGAUAUACUAAAUUAUUUGGUGUUUAUCUGAAUUCAAAUUUAACUGGGCACUCCGCAUUUUUAUCUCCUGAAUCUGCAAGAGGGUUCAGUUAAUGAAUCAAAAUUGGCAAACCUGCAAUAAGUGGCAAAUCACUCCUGGCGGUAAUCUCCUUUCCUUAUUGAAAAGGGAAAGAAUCACAAGUUUCUACUAUAGUAAAAACUUUAUCACUAUUAAAGGCUGAUUCACCUGUGUUAACUAGCAUGUCUUUCAAAAUACAGUUGCCCCAGAUGGAGAGUGACACAUGAAACUUUAAGUUCAUAUGGGAAGGUAAAUUACCUUACCUGAAUCUUUUCCUCCUAUUAGCUAGUGCUCCAAGUGAAAGAAGCGUGUAUUUUUGUUUUUUUGUUGUGAAGGGUUCUUGUUUAAUACAACUGAAAAGAAUGCCUAUACAAAGAAUUGACAUGAAAAAGCAUUGAUUCAACACUCAUGAGCUAGGUUCUGAAAGGUGUAAAAAAAUUACCUGAACAUUUUUAGAAAUUGGAAACUACAACUAAAACUGAUAAAAAUCCCUAUUAACAUUUGUGAAGAAUCUUGAUAAUGUGUCCUGAAUUGGUGGGUUCUUGGUCUCACUGACUUCAAGAAUGAAGCCGCGGACCCUGGUGGUGAGUGUUACAGUUCUUAAAGGUAGCGUGUCCGGAGUUUGUUCUUUCUGAUGUUCGGACAUGUUUGGAGUUUCUUCCUCCUGGUGGGUUCAGUGGUUUCGCUGGCUUCAGGAGUGAAGCUGCAGACCUUGGCAGUGAGUGUUACAGCUCUUAAGGUGGCGCGUCCGGAGUUGUUCAUUCCUCCCAGUGGGUUCGGGUCUCACUGGCCUCAGAAAUGAAGCUGCAAACCUUCACGGUGAGUGUUACAGAUCAUAAAGGCAGUGCAGACCCAAAGAGUGAGCAGCAGCAAGAUUUAUUGCAAACAACAAAAGAACAAAGCUUCUAGAGCGUGGCACGGGACCCAGACAGGUUGCCACUGCUGGCUCUGGCAGCCUGCUUUUAUUCCCCCAUCUGGCCCCACCCACAUCCUGCUGAUUGGUCCAUUUUACAGAGCGCUGAUUGGUCCGUUUUGACAGGGUGCUGAUUGAUGUGUCUACAAUCCCUGAGCUAGAUACAGAGUGCUGAUUGGUGUAUUUACAAUCCUUUAACUGGAUAUAAAGGUUCCCCAAGUCCCCACUAGAUUAGCUAGACACGGAGCACUGAUUGGUGCAUUUACAAACCUUGAGCUAGACACAGGGUGCUGAUUGGUGUGUUUACAAUCCUUUAGCUAGACAUAAAGGUUCUCCAAGUCCCCAGGAGAUUAGCUAGAUACAGAGUGCUGAUUGGUGCAUCCACGAACCCUGAGCUAGACACAGAGCACUGAUUGGUGCAUUUACAAACCUUUAGCUAGACAGAGUGCUGAUUGGUGCAUUUACAAUCCUCUAACUAGACAUAAAAGUUCUCCAAGUCCCCACCCCUCUCAGGAGCCCAGUUGGCUUCCCCUAGUGGAUGCCAUGCCAGGGUUGCGGGCUGAGCUGCUUGCCAGUCCUGCGCUCGUGCCUCGUGCCUGCACUCAGCAGCCCUUGGGCAGUCAAUGGGACUGGACGCCGCUGAGGCAGGGGCGGUGCCCCUCAGGGAGGCUAGGGCCUAGCAGAAGCCCACCGCGGGGGGACUUGCACAUGGCGGGCUGCAGAUCCGAGCCCUGCCCCAUGGGGAGGUGGCUGAGGCCUGGUGAGAAUUUGAGCGUGGCGCGGGCCGGCUGGCAGUGCUGGGGGACCUGACGCCCCCCUCUGCAGCUGCUGGCCCAGGUGCUAAGCCCUUCACUGCCCGGGCCGGGGGUGCCGGCCGCCCUCCGAGUGCGGGGCCACGGAGCCCACGCCCACCCGGAACUCGCGCUGUCCCGCAAGGCCACAUGCAGCCCCG